rnacentral:rRNA from 1 species
GACGAACGCUGGCGGCGUGCUUAACACAUGCAAGUCGAACGGAAAGGCCCGGCUUUUGUGGGGUGCUCGAGUGGCGAACGGGUGAGUAACACGUGAGUAACCUGCCCUUGACUUUGGGAUAACUUCAGGAAACUGGGGCUAAUACCGGAGAGGAGCUCCUGCUGCAUGGUGGGGGUUGGAAAGUUUCGGCGGUUGUGGAUGUAUUCGCGGCUUAUCAGCUUGUUGGUGGGGUAGUGGCUUACCAAGGCUAUGACGGAUAGCCGGCCUGAGAGGGUGAACGGCCACAUUGGGACUGAGAUACGGCGCAGACUCCUACGGGAGGCAGCAGUGGGGAAUCUUGCGCAGUGGGCGGAAGCCUGAUGCAGCGACGCCGCGUGCGGGAUGACGGCUUUCGGGUUGUAAACCGCUUUCGCCUGUGACGAAGCGUGCGUGACGGUAAUGGGUAAAGAAGCACCGGCUAACUACGUG